AGCUUAUCGACUCAGUUCUUUCUCCGGAUUUUGUUACCUCCUCAAUUCCUCUUCCAGUUUACUUUGUCUCUUUCAGUCUUCCCUCUUUAUCUACUUUGCUAAUUCUGUGUUUCUUCUUGAUUUAGUUCUUACUUCUGGGUUGUUGCUUUUUCCAAUUUCCAUGCGCUUUAUCCCUGCUUUUUACUAGUUGAUGUAAAAUAUCAUAGUUGCUAUCCAAUUAAUCAUAGCUUAUGAUCCUUUUAAUUUCUGAACACAAAGGAGCUAUGAGACAAAGGGACUACGCUUAAUCUGUAUAUACUACUGAGGAGCCUUAGCGCAAUAGUAGAAGUUUCUACCAUGUGAUCAGGAGGUCGUGAGUUUAAAUCGUGGGACCAAUCUCUUAAAAAUAUGCAAGGAAUAUGGAACCCCAUUUCUCUGCAGUGCCGAAUAUUAGAGGUACUCCCUAAUUCAA